rnacentral:rRNA from 1 species
AUGGCAGGGAAGGGAAGGCCAUCGGACACCCCCCAUGCCCCUCUGGAUCCGCUCGAUGGUGGUAGGCGGGAGGUGGAGGAACUAGGAGGGGAGAGUCACCGGCGACCCCCGAGCUCACCGGCCGACAUCCGAUCUGUGAAGCCAAGUUACCCUCGAUAUGGGGACGGAGAGGACGCCCCCACGAGGUCUUGGCGCGGAUCCGUUGUCGAGCAGCCGCGGAGGAUAACGACAGGGCGGAUCCAGCUGCCCUCGGCCAAGUGGUUGGCAGGGACGGCGAGGCGCGGAUCCGACGCCGACCACGUGCGAGAGCACUGCGAUGGGCGGAUCCGGUGGCUGGCCUACGAUGGCAGGUGGGGCAGGGAGGAUAGGUGGUUCGAGGUGAUGCGGCAGCGUAAGGGGGUGGAGGUGGCACGGAGGUGCAGGGGAGGGAGGUGGCGGUGGGAGGUCACCAGCCUGGGGCCACGGUGGUGGGAGGUCGCCAGCCUGGGGGCACGGCGGUGA